rnacentral:rRNA from 1 species
GAUGAACGCUGGCGGCGUGCCUAAUACAUGCAAGUCGAGCGAACAGACGAGGAGCUUGCUCCUCUGAUGUUAGCGGCGGACGGGUGAGUAACACGUGGAUAACCUACCUAUAGACUGGGAUAACUUCGGGAAACCGGAGCUAAUACCGGAUAACAUGUUGAACCGCAUGGUUCAACAGUGAAAGACGGUCUUGCUGUCACUUAUAGAUGGAUCCGCGCCGCAUUAGCUAGUUGGUAAGGUAACGGCUUACCAAGGCAACGAUGCGUAGCCGACCUGAGAGGGUGAUCGGCCACACUGGAACUGAGACACGGUCCAGACUCCUACGGGAGGCAGCAGUAGGGAAUCUUCCGCAAUGGGCGAAAGCCUGACGGAGCAACGCCGCGUGAGUGAAGAAGGUCUUCGGAUCGUAAAACUCUGUUAUUAGGGAAGAACAAAUGUGUAAGUAACUAUGCACGUCUUGACGGUACCUAAUCAGAAAGCCACGGCUAACUACGUG